CAAAAAUGAAGGGAAGAGAAAAGCAGUGACUAAUAACAGGUGAUCAGUACCACCAAAUAUAGCUUAUUUCAAGCUACAUCUCAAUAAUAUUACAAAAUAUUGAAGUUUUCUAAUAACAUUGUAUGCAGGAAGUGAUAGCAUAGCAACAGUUCUUUCUGCAUUUAUUUCCAGUAUACUAGAAAGAAACCAAAUUACACUGAUAUUCCCUUGUCAAAUCACAUGUUAUAACUUAAAACUAAAAAUGAGUAUAAAGAAAUAACUUGUUGCCGUGCAACGUUAUCUGAGAAAAGGAUGUGAGCUUCUAAUCCACUGAUCACAUAUAUGCCCAUUAGUAAGACGAGAUCAAACCUUCUUUCCAACCUCAAGUGACCCAAUUUCUUUGUGCCAGAGAAUUGAUUUUGCGCCAUUGCUUGUCACCAUUCUGAGAAUUAUUUCAGCAGGAAGAGCAGUAGGAUCAGUAGUUCCUUUAUAAAAGACUUCUCGUCCUUUGUUGAUUAGAGAAGCUAGGUACAUCUCAUCAACUGCACUCCAGUAAAGGGUGAUGUUAUACAUAGAAUAUGAGUUCAGUUAUGCUGACCCUGAAAAAAGAUGAGUAAUUAUGGCACACGUUUAUUAUUGCUUUGUCAGCAAGCCAGUCAUUACUCACUAACAUGCACAACAAAAGAGUAUUCGUUUCUCUUGCAUUUCCAGCAAUACUUCUUUGUUUUGUAAACCUUAAUUUGGUGCAUCAGCAGAAGGACAGGAAACUUUUCACUUUGUAUGUUAUCAGUUGUUCAAUGAAAUUCACUCUCAUGUCUUUCCUUUCUAUCUCUAACUUGAGAAUUUAAAGGACAUUCAAGUUUCAAUUCAUAAUAGCACCUAGUAGAAAUUUUGUAAGCAGUGAUAAAAAUCUGAGUUAGAGAUACUCAUAGUAAUCUAACAAGAAGGAAGUUGUUGUUUGACAAAAGAAAUUUGCUAUAAUCAAAAUGAUUAGAGGAGGAGGAAAAAAACAAAGAAAAAGAAAAGAAGAGAGUAGCAUAAACUCUCUUUAAAUGAUAUAAUAGUAGCAUAAUUCUGUUGAUAAUGCAGAAAUUACCAAUACUCAUCCUGUUAUUUGAUGGUGCACCAUCUGUUCCCAAGGACACACAUACUCCAGCAUCAAGCAUUUCCCUUAUGGGUGCAAAUCCAAGCAUGCGCAUUGCAGCAGCAGGACAAUGUGACACUUUAACACUGGCCUUUGAUAGGGAAGAAAUCUGAAAAAAAAAAUGGAAAUUACCUACCCUACAAGAUUAAUUAAGAAGGAAUGCAAAUGUUUGUAGAUCUAGAGGCUCACAAUCAUUACAAUAUGAUAAUUGAAGUAGUGGACAGCCAUAAUAUGUCUUGAUGAAAGAAGCCAACAACAAUGUCAAAAACCAUUCGUAAGAGCAAAUAAUAAUGAACAUCAAAACAAACACACGUGCCAACCAUAGGAAUAGGAAGCAUACAAUGUCUCAAAUGGUCAUUUCAGGAAAACCGAGUAUUUGCAUCCCUGUGUCAUAGAAGGAGAGAAAAAAGAAAGAAGACAAAAAGGAAAUACUGAAAAAACAUUUAAUCCUAUCUAUAUUGCCCCAACCACCUGAAGUUAUGAAGCAUCCUCACAAACCCUGCUAUAGUCAAGGGCCUACCCAUACCAACAAGAGAAAGCUGGAGAGGGAAAUUUUGACUGCAGAUCACCCUUCAAUAAAAGUAGUAAAUGACCUUAUACUGACAAGACAGUGAAGGAUGACCAACUUAUUUUCAAGAAGAGCAAAUGAAACUGUCCACACUUAUUACCUCGCCUGGGUUUACCCAAACAGUAUGAGCUGCCAGCAAAUUGUCUUCCAGGAACUUGAUUUUUUCAAGAUAUGCAACUGUCCCAUGAUCAACCCCACGAUUGUUUGCCACGUAUUGGUUCUCGUAGGGUAUCUCUGCAACAUGCUAGAUGCAAAAUGGUGAACCCUUAUUUGUCAAAACUCCACAUGCUGUAAAAUUUACACACAGGUCACGAAUAGUAGUAAUUUCCAAGAUGAGAGACCUGUUGUCGAGAAUAGUCAAAACUAAAACGACACUAUGAUGUUUCAUGAAUGUCAGAUCCCAUCUUAGGUUUAUUCCUAGUCCCUCACUCCUAUUUUUCCUCUCUUUCUUAUUUUGUCUUAUUUGACUAAUAUGACAAGAAUUAUCUUCACACUGUCCCAAGAUGGUUAAUUUGUGGUCUUUAUGUUUGCAUAGAUAUGUACGAAACUGAACCUGGAUAAUACACAAUUCAAUGAAGCUACCUGAUAAUAGUAGACAUGCCUCGCCAUACUUCUGGUUUUGUCUAUUUUGCAGUUUUUUAAAUUAUAUUCAUAAAAACAGCAAGUUUGGGCUUAAAUGGUGUAUCCCAAGACUCAGCAAAGUGGAAGCAAAAUUUGCUAGAAAAGAUGAACUUAAAAUUGUUUAAAAGUUUUUCUCCAAAAAAAAAAAAAAACUUGUCAACUAAUUAAACUGGUUUACUCAUUAUCAUCCAUAGAAAGUGGGUAUCUAAGGCUAUUUACUGCACACACCUCAACAUCACUUUUUGCAGGAAAUAUGUCCCGUAAAGCGUAGAACAUAAAAAGCAUACUAUAUGGUAACAGAAUCUUCCUCUUGCAAACUGCCUUUCAAGCACUUAGACAGUUUCCAGGACACUGAGAUCUUAUAUCUCCCUUUCGUUCAGCUAUGCUAACCACAGAAUAUGAAAGAACCUCAAUUGGCAGGUGAAUUCAUGGAGAGAGAGAGAGAGGACAGACCAUAUGGAUUCCAGUUUGAAGUUCUUUAGCUGUGUCUCUUGUUUGUGUAAGUAAUAGAUCAGUGGCAUUCAUGAUCUGCCUUAUUCCAAGCCAUAUUCUGAUGCGUCCAUCUGCAGUAUUAUGGUGCUUCUUAUACAAUUCUUUUUGAGACUGUAUCCUUAAAUAAAAGAGAGAGCUUUAGACCAAUGCAAUGGAUGAAUGGCAAUCAGGAACUACACACAAAAAAAAAAGACAAACAAUUGGUGAGUGAUGGCGGAAAAGAGGAACACGUCUACUGGUGGUGUUCAGAAACUGAAUGAACUAGAUUCAAAAUAUCAGAAGUCCUAUAUGAACGCCCCUCCCAGGCAACUAACCACAACCAAGGAAGCAACAAAACUAAAUGCAAAAAGUACCAGAUUGCUAAAAUGUGGAACAUACGGAUUUCAAAACUUCUACUACAAGUUCAUAUGAAUUCAGUUAACUUGCUGCGAUAAUGUACAGGAGUUUGAACUUUCAAAUCAGCUUGGUGUGAUAAGAAACCAAUAAAAGUGGUUCAGUCCUCUCUUUCCUACUGAUCUUGUAGCGUUCUUACUUAGACUGAAGCUAUUUAAAAGCUAACAAUUUUAAGCAAUUGAAGCAUAAACAAACAAAUCUCUAAAAGCAACCAGUACCAAAAGAUUACCGGAAGUCGUAAAGCAAUUAGCAAGUAGAAAUAGGUAGUAAUGUAGGCAACCUGAAUACAGUGUUGAGUGGUCCGAUUGGCCCAAGCCAUCGGCAAACCCUCGCCACAAUCCAUAAUUGAUUCCGUCAAGCAAGCCCGCAAUCCCAGCAGUUCCACUGCUCUAGCCAUCUCAGAUACAUGCUGCCCUCCCGCCUCAGCGAAGCACGUCACCUUUUUUCCCCCCACCCCAACAAAAUAAAUAAGAACUGGUGGUACAGUAGCGCAUACGAAGUUGAAGAACAAGUUUAAAUUCAAGAAAUGAAAAAGGAAUAGUAGUUAGCGGAGAUGGUCCUGAUACUGACCCCGGAGUGAAUAAGUUCAAUUCCGCAGAGUAAAGUAGAGAUGUAAGAAUCGUGGGGGGUCAUAUUGGACUCAUAGGGCCAAAUACAGUUGUGUAGCCAGGUGAGCAAAGGGACGUCAUCGGCAAUUCCUCUGGCCAGCUGCUGAGAUGUGUGUACGUGGGUGUUUAUGAAGCCAGGUAGAAGGAAUUGGCCCUGGAGGUCCAGGAGCUGCGACGAGGGGAGAGAAGAAAAUUGAGCCAGGAUUUGAGGGGAGUGGCCGAUGGCUAUGAUGGUAUUGUGUUCGAUUACGAUUGCUCCGUCACGGAAAACUCGACUCUGAGGAUCCAUGGUGACGAUCAAUGCAUUGUGGAGUGUGAGUAGCCUGCUGCUGCUGCUGCUGCUAUCUGACUUGGACUCGCCGCCACCGCGCGCCGUUUCCAUUACAAAAGCGUCCAAGUGUUCGUCUUGGACUUCCUCUUUUGAAGUUUGAUCACUCCCAGACUCUAUCGUUUCAAUUUGGUCCCCCCGCUGACUUCACUAAUGUACGUAGACUAGAGUAGCGUAUGUUUCCCGUCUCUUUUUUUUGGUGGAAAUAGGGAUUAAACAUUAAUAAAAUAAGGUUUCGUCCUAUCUAUUACCGUGCAAAAGAGAUAGUGGAAGGAAAACAAAUCCCUUUCAAGUCCUCAUCACAGACAAAAGCAAGUUCUUGAGGACAAUUAGUAAAAGUUACAAAGUCGGAUUAUAAUCUGCCUCCCAUUCUUGCGAGUGUGUCUGCACAUCUGUUCGCCUCUCGGUAUAUGUGGGAUAUCUUAACAUGCCGCAGCUGCGAAAGGAGGAAUCUGCAGUCCGAAAUGAUAGAGUUCAAAUGAUGAUUAGGAUUGGUAGCAGAUUUUAUCAAAGUAACAAUUGUUUUGCAGUCAACUUCAACUUCUAGUUGAGAAAUAUUUAAGGAAAGGGCUAGUUCUAGUUCAUCCUGGAUACCCUAACACUCCAUGGUGGGUGUCAAACCAGCAAAAAUAAAAUUCCUACUCUUAAGUCACGAAUUAAGUCCACUAUGGUACUGGAGCAGGGACUUAGACUGUGCAAUGGGUUACUAGCUUCACCCUGGUGCCAGAGUUUGCUUGAUCCGAUAUACCAAAGUAUAUUAAUUACGUGAAAGACAAAAUUCGAAUAUAGCAGUGAGCAGGGUCGAAUCCACAGGGACUUGGGAAUUUAUUUUGAAUGAAUGUAACAUUAAAUAAAAAUGGGGGGAAUUGAUAUGGAACUGUCUAAUUUAAUUGCUCAAAUUAAAAAUAAGACAAUCGCAGAUAAAAUAAAUAACAAUAAAUAUAAAGUAAAUUAACGGAAGGAAAAUCUCUAGUCAAAGGUAUAAUCUCCACUAAUGGUUCGAAUCACUGAUCACAGAUGCAGAGAUAAAAUCUUUCAUUUACAAAUAAACUGGUUAUGGUUGUCAACAAGCUCUGACAACCUGCCUAACCUUCUUGAUUCGAUAACCACAACAAGCUCUGUAGUUAUUGCCCUAGCCAAUUAAGCAGUCCUAAACACGCUCUUAGGAUUUAACCUAUUGACAGCAUUAAUCAUUAGACUGGCCACCAAUUAUAACCAACAAACACACAUGCUCGGUUUAUUUAGGCUAUAUCAUAUAUUUCCACAACAACAACUCAAAAGUUUCUACUACAAUUGAAUCAUGUCACUUGCCACAUGCACUAAAAUUACCCAACAAUUACGGAUUGAGCACUCUUAGAUGGCUGUUAAUUACUCACACAAUUAAACAGUGAUCAAGUAUUUAAUUGCAAGAAAUAAUCAUAUGCAUAAGUGAACAAGAAAUAUAUAAAUACUUGCAAAUUAAAGAACGUAGGCAAAUGAAUUCGAUCUCACAGUUUUGUCGAACCAAAGUUUCGAUUUAACCUCUGACUAGAUAAACUUAGCCACGCCUCAUGAUUAAAUCACCACACGAAGUAAUGGAUUGCAAAGGCAUUGCGUUUUUACUAGAAAGCAAGGAAUAAAAGAUGUUUUUCCCGUUGGGGAAUAUUGUCGAACACCUGGCGUGUGUCAGAGGCCAGUCAAGAGAAAGGAAACUAGAACUAAACUAAAAAGCUAAACUAGAGGUGUCCUCUUGCUUCUGUACGUCAUCUCCUUAAAAAGCCAAAAGUAAGAUGACUAAAAGCUAUCUCCGGUGGUCCCCACACAUGUGGACAAAGUCUCCAAAAUUACUUCUUCUUCCAAGUCUCUCUACGUUGCUUUCUUUGAAGAGCCCAAAUGACCAAAUAUCUUUCACUAGCUUUGUGGUCCCCCACCAAUUCAAGGGCCCAAGGUUUGAAUCCCUUAGAAGUCUCCAUAUUCUCUAUAAAGUCCCUCCUUUUUGGUAGUUUUCUGCUUCAUUCCCUAUCAAAUGGGAUGCGUGCUUUCUAGUAUCAACUAAGAAACUUGUAUCAAGAUUUUCUUAAUGGAAUUUCCUCAAUUAGGCUUCGAUUUCUCCUUUUCUGCCUCAAUUAACUUGAAGUUCCUAGAAAUCACACAAAAAUUCAAUUAUAAGUAGAAUCUAGCAAAUUAUCACAACAUUUGGUCAAAAUAAAGGGGAAAAUAUUAACAAAUAAACUGGCUAAUUUGCGCAUUAACACUCCACCAGCAUGUUGGUUGAAGAGCCUAAAUUUCUGCAGUAUCCUUUAAUCGAGCCCUAGAGACGUCUUUGAUUAAACCUCCAGAUCCAAUAGGACCUGGAUUUCCUAAAGCUGAUCCGUCUGUGUUGAGCUUGAACCAAUGAAGGAUUUGGGGAAUCCAUCUGAUAAGAAUUUGGGAUUUUUUGCGAGGGGGUCAAGUGGUGUGUUUACUUGAUAAUAAACGGUACCCGUCGGUUCGAACCGAUUUUUCUUAAAUCGUGUAUACUAGGGUUUUCACUUAUAAUUCACUAAUUUAUUAUUAUCACUUCUAAUCACACACUUAAUAUCAUCUAAAACUCACUCUUAAUCACCAAAUUUAGUGCACACAUCUCACUGAGUGAGCACACGGUCAAAAUACGCAAAAAGUCCUAAUUUACCCGAAAGAAGAACCUAAAGGGAAAACCCUUGAUUCUAUGGUGGAUUCUAAUUACUUACUUGAAAGUUGACGGAGUGUCAACUAUUACUUGAUCAAGCUCUAGUGAUGCAAUGAGAAUUUGGCUCCAGAGAGCCAUCCGUAUUCUUAUACUUUGGAAUGAUUAGUACUUAUCGUGUUAUUGUUUCGUUUUUAAAAGAAACCUUUGCACUCGCUCAUUUUGACAUUUACUACUUGAAGUGUUAUUGUUCACUUUUAUGAACUUUUCAUGCUCAUUACUUUGCUACGUAAUACUUGCACGUUUAAAUAAUGGUCAACUUGCUAUUUGAAACAUCACUGGGCUUUUAGCUCAUUCCACGUCAUUUGUUUUCCUUACAGGGGGUACGAGCGAGGCGUGAGACGUGUACAGACUAGUAUAGUCUAGUUGUUUUGAAUUUUGAAUCUGUACUCACGCUAGUACCCGACUAGGGUUGAUUGUACUCGAAUUGUAAACACUUUGAAGUAUCUUGGUGCGUAGAAGUUUUGUAUCUGGAUUUGAGCAUCAAUGUAUAUAUUAAGUUGAAAUGGGUGUGUUAUUUAUUUUCUAUAGAUGUACGUUAUUUUUCUUGAGUUAUGAGUGACCUGGCGAGAGCUGGACAGGCGGUCCGCCGAACCCUUUGGUUCACUUUAGGGGAAGGUGGGACUGUCACAGGGAUGGUUAGAUUUUGGGCCAAGGGAGUAGAAUUCAAUAGCCAACUUAAUGCUGGUUUUUGUUGGUGGAUGUUGUGGUUUGUUGGGCUCAAAAAUCUUCUUAUUCCUAGAGUGCCCCAAGAAAUAUUGUAGUAAGGGGAGGGCGUGGAAAUUUUACAUCCUUCCCUAAGCCAGAUAUGAGAAGGAAUGAGUAUAGUAGAUAGGUAAUAGUUGCGAUUGAGUUCCAUCCAAACAGAUUGGGCGUGGACACAUUUUACGCAAGACGUGAUUAAUAUCCUCUACCUGUCCUGGGCAGAAAGGGCAGAUAUUGUCAGGAAUGAUGUUUCUGUUGUGAACGAGAUGCCUUGUAGCAAGUGUAUCUUGUGAAGCUAACCAGAAGAAAAGUUUGGUUUGAUGAGGCGUGUGAGUAGUCCAAAUCCAAGUGAAAGAUUGGUUUUCCCGUCUAUUUCGUUUGUCAAGUGAAUUUUUUGGAUGUUUAUUUAAAACUUUACUGUAACUUACUGUAGAUGUUUUUUAAAUAAUUUUUGAAUUGUGUUUUUUUUUUUGAAAUAUUUUGAAGUAUAUAGUUUAAAAAUUUUGAAAAGUUUUUUGAGGUUACUGUAACUAAAAUUUUUAAAAAACUUGUAACAGACAAACUUGGUAAAAAACUUGUCUUCCAAACAAGGCCAAAUUUGGCUCUCUCCAUAGUUGAAAAAAAUUCUAGCAUAACAUCUAAUAAAUCCUCAUGGUACGAGCAUACGCGCAACAAGAAGUCUUUUAUUUUUUAUUUUCCAAAAAAAAAAAAAAAAGAUCUGGAAAGACAGGAACAGUCCCAAUAAAUGGGUACGCCAAAGCCAGGCUUGGUGGGAUUGGUACGUUAUUGGUCCUGGUACGCAGUCGUGUUAUGUACAUUACGGGUGCUGGACUAAAUUACCUACUAGUGGUUUAAUCUUCUUCUAGCUAAUUUACAUUGCAAAAUAUCUGCAAGUUAAAAUUCACUGACUAUUCCCAGCUUCCUUUCCUAUUCAGCCAGUUAACGUAGAAAUAGUUAUAAUUGUAGCGGGCCGGCGACCAGCAGCGUCGUCGGGAAGCAAAUUGAUUCAUUUGACAAGAAUUGAUAUCUCACAAAAAGUUGUGUAUGAGAGUAGCGAUCUAUAAGAAAUCCUGUAUAUUAAUAUGACCUAAGGUUUUGAAAGUUUCCCUCAACAUAUAGUUUCGUGGAAAAAAAAAGACUCAUCCCUUUUUUCUAUUAGCUUUUCUUCUCCAUGCUUCAAUUUUUUCAAUAUCUACCGUUGAUAAGAGACGAGACAUAAAAAUUAGUUAAUGAAAACCCAUUAAAACAAAAGUCCCAGGCAAACGGCAAAAAAUAGAAUGAAAAAAUAAACAAAUUUUUAAGAAAAGGGCUUUUUUUUUAAUUUUUAAAAAAAAGGAGAGGAAGAGGAGGGGAAUAAAUGUAAAAACCGAGGUACCUCACCUCCCAUCUCAGCGGACAAAACCCGGUACUUAAAAAGAAGGUGGGGAAUUGUUUUAUUUGUGGUGUUUUCUGUUAUUGCUAGAUAUGAACGGGGUACAUUAAAUUAUUUAUUAAGAUAGCCGGAAGCACCUAUCAUAUCAAACUCAAGAUUAAGAAAGAUUUGUAUAGAUAUUAACGAGGUAAAUAUGUUCCAAACCUCAUAAAAAAGAGCUCUUUGUGACGACCCAUUGGGUAUAGGACCAAAAGGGCAGCUCUAAAAUCUCCCCUAAACCAUGAUCACUCAAGAGGAACUAAAGUAACUAACGACAAUAAUACCUAAAGAUACAAAAAUUUCCUGAACAAAAUAUCUUCCUCAGUUGAUUUCUAGAAAUUUAAGAACAACGUGCGACGUAAAUCAGCAAUAGCAUUUACUUCCACGGGAACAUUUAGAGGCCAACUAUAGACUCACACAACACAUGUGGUUGGAAGUAAAAAGGCCGGAGAAAAUAGCAAAUUCAACUCUUGGGACGUGAACCAAGCGAGGAUUCAAGGCCAGUACCUUGGACAAACGAAACAAAGGCAAAUUAACAAACAUCUAACGUGCACGCACCUGUAGCAUCUGAUCACAAAAAUCGUGUUUGCAUAUGAAAUCUUAUGAUGAAAAUUGAGAGUGGGAAAAUUGUACUAUAAAAGUGUAAUCAACUAACAGAAGAAAGUAGAUUUCCCGUGGCCUCUUUUAAUUUGAUGAAAUUGCUAGAAGAAAUAUUGGUAAGAGUUACGCAGCACUAAAAAGAACAAAAGCACUGCUAAUUUAAUAGUAGCGGUACACAACCGAAACAUGCAACGGCAAAAGCCUGGCGUCAAUAUCCGAAGACCUACUGUUAAAAAUAAAUAAAUACAACCCAUGCGGCGUGCUAAUCAAAAGAGUCUUCAGCCAUCUCAUCCAUGCUGAAAUCGUACAAGGCGCUAGAUUAAAGGAUUAAGAUUUGGACAAAUCUUCCAAUCCAGCCAAAUUAAAAGCAGUAGUAUAAAAACAUGGAUGAAUCUCAGAAUUAAACUAUGAACAAAGCUCAAUCGAUAUGAAAGUUUUGAACUUUAUCAGCAUACCAACGUAAGCUAAUUUAAUGGAGACUGAGAGAGAGAGCAUACAUUACAUUACGCGGUAACUUACAAGUCUGCUGUUGGACCAUAAAUCCCACCAACUAAUGCGACAAACAAAAUCGAGAAUGUUAAUUUAUUUAUUAGCAAGUGUCUUUUGCGUUUGUCUGAUCGAUCUGCAUGUAUGGCCGUCGGUUCUUUGUCCAUUAUCUGGGCAAAGGGCAGGCUAACUUCUCGAGAAUCUACGCAUUCUUUAUUGCAAUUUGCACUGCAGGCGUCAUUUGACAGGCACCCUCAGAAAAGAAUAACAACGAGAUGAUUUGUACAGGGAAUGAUGCCGAUGAUGAUGAUGCUGUCUCGUGGGCUAAUCUCAAUCAUAGACACAUUCUUUAUUUGUUUAAUGUCGUAAUCCUGUACACAAUUAUUUUUUGGUCCCUGAUUGUGAUUGCACAACUAAAUAACAUGCGUUCUGGGGACUUGAGAUUUAUCUCUACAAAACAUGAUUUGCUUCCCUGGAAAAAUAGUUAAUUUAAAAAAUAAAAAAUAAAAAACCAGAAGAAGAAAAUUAGCGCGGCCAAUUGGAGAUGAAGUUCAAGUAAGGUUAUGAGAUGCUCGAUCGAAAUAACUAUUAAUCCUCAAAGAAUUUUGUGUUGCUUCCGCAUGACAAACGAUAAAUAACAGAAGAAGAAAACCAUUACCACCUAUAAUAAAAGACAGAAAAAUACAUAAAGAAAAAGAUCUUUGGCGACAUGGUUAACGCUCAAAGGUACAAGGGAUGAUUUAAUUAGGUCUCUCUACAUGACGCGCAGGAAGUGUCUUUCAAGUGCACGAGAGACCUAACCAAACCAAAGCAAAGCAAAGAGUAUACAGAUUAAACGUCAUUCAAGGCAAGCGAUCUGGGGGAAGGGAGAAGGUGAUAGGAACUGUAGGUCUUGGAAAAGCUGCAUCUUGGAUGAAUCUCAUCGCAGUCCAUUUCCACCAACACCUUGACGAAAUGAUCAACAUCACAAGGAAGUUCGAGAGGGCCAUCAUUAGUGUAACCAUACUCUGAUUCAGCUUCUUCAAGCAACAUCUUGAGAAGAGGAUGGUUUAAACACUCAGUUUUGAUCACGAACCUUUGUUUCUGGGCUCCAACGUACACCGAAAAGCAGCCCUCAGGUGCAACUCGACGGUUUUUAGCACGCUUUGGAUCCGCUUCUCGGGUUGAAGCUGCAGCAGAACCUGUCCACGACUUGCUCUUAAGCUUGGCUGCAUGUCGACGUCUUGAUGACCCAAUACCACCGAAAGACCUGCAUCGCUCCCAAGUCUUGAGGAUGAGGCCCUUCUUUCCCUUCGCCUCAAUCAAAUCCAUUUCUUGAACAACAAGAUCAAUGAUAUUUUGCUGCAAACUGGCUUAACUAGUAGUACAAGAACAAUAUAAGCCUCAGUCCUCAGUCUUAUACUACCCUCUGUCGUAAACCAAAUUAAACAUAACCUUCAUCCUUGGCCUCAUGGUGUUACUCAUGGUCUCAUGAAAACUGGGGCAACUUAGGCUGAAACAUGCACACCAAGUUGAGUGAUCGGCAAAAAGGGAGUUGUAGUUGUACAAGUAAGAAUAUACACUGGGCCACUGGGAUCAACUAUCAAAGAAAGUAACUGGGAGAAAAUUUUAGAUGAAACGAGAAUCACAAGAACUCCAGAAGAUAAUACGAUAAAAAGGGGAAGAAAACAGUAAAGAACCUCACGGGGUAAGCUCUUACUUGCGUUGCGUCUGCUAUAGGUUAACACACACCACUCAGGAUUAUACGUGGUCCUUAUAUAGUAUAGAAUUCACAACCAGAGAUACAAAAAUUAUGAAUGGUUCUUGCAAGUUAUCCUACUUGUCAACUCUUGAAUGACCUCUUCCAUUGAAUUAUUGCCCCUCUUAUUUAUCCUUACAAUGACGCGAAGAGGCCAGCUUCUCUGAAUUAAGAAACUGAGGAAGCGGACAAAUUAAUAGAAGUAUCAGUACCUUUCUAGUUGUAGUUUUCAAAUUUUUUUCCACGUUCAUUUAACUAAUCACAUAGUUAAUAGUGCAACCAGGAACACUACUAGUGCUUACAAUCAAUUAAAGUGAUGGGAAGAUUAAAAUUACCAAUUUGAGCCACCAGCCUAUCCUAUCAUAUCCUAAAUGCUGUCUGGCAAAUUAAGCUGGAAAAUUCCAUUAAUCCUAUGAUGCAAGGGUUGACUAAUUAACAAGUUUGUGGAAGACUUUUAUUCUUUGUAUGUGAUGAUUACCGGAAGGCCAAUACUAAUUAGCCAGGAAAAAGCAAAAAUAACCCUCAACAAAACUAAUAUAUAACUCCACAUACUUAACAUUAAAUUUUUUUUUUCUUAACAGAGAAAGAAUGGAAUUUUAAAAGCAAGGAAGGGGUAAGGAGAUUAGAACCAAAAACAUCGAAGUUCUGCAUAACUAAAAGAAACAGCGAUCGAAUUACAAUUCUUGACGUCAGAGUUGAAGUUUAACGACCAAAUCUUUUUUUUUUUUUCAAUCUUUUAUUCAGUUGCCUUCAUUUUCAUCUCUUUGAUUUUUCUACUAUCAGAUUAUUCUGUUUCAUAUAUUAUCUCGUUAUCCGCAACAAGUGUUUCAAAUAAGGGUUGUAUUGCAUGGACUACAGCUUGCGAAAAGUAAACUCUUAAAAUUGUCAACUACCUGACUCAUACCAUUUAAUUGACCAAAUAUUUUCUCUCUUUCUCUAUCUAUAUGUUUGUUUCCUUUACCCUAAUGUUUUCUCUUGUUUUAAUUUUGGUUGCCAACGGAUUGGCAUUCACUCGCAAGCAUCUUUUCAUAAUUUGUUACCAUGGAAGGAUUGUUAUUCAUCCGUGAUCUGUGCAUGCCCCAGCUGCUGCCACAGUAAAUCUGUAACCAGAGUAUUAAUUACCAGAAACCAGGCUGGUGUCUCCCAGGGCAGGAGUAAGUGAAAGUCUGUGAAUUAUUCUGGUCCAGAGCAUAUUAUUUCCAGCAGCCGAAUGAAGAUAUAGCAUCUAUUUGCGUAAUGAAACAAAAUGCAGUCUGCUUCCAAAUUGACCACAUAGUUUUGACAUUAGAUUCAUUCGUAUUUCCUCCUUUAGUUCUGUGAAAAGACAUUUUAUUUUCUCCUUUAGUUUAUAAAAUAUCAUCAAGCGCCAUCCUAUCCUAGUUUGACAAACAUUGAAAGUUACACUUUUUUUCUACUAACAUCGGUCUCCAAACAGUUCAUGUAUCUUGAUGUUCUAAAGUGCCUUUAGAACUUGCUAUAUCCCACCUAAUCACAUGAUAUUUUACAAACAGGAUUAGAAAUAAUAAUCAAUUAACUUUUUCUUUCCCAUCAUUCAUGGUUGAAUACAAAACCGAUAUUUUAUUUAUGGAUGAACAAUAAUACAAUAAGGUCGAAUUUUUUUAUUUUUAUUUUUUUAGAAAAAGGCAUAUCAGACAUAACAAUAAUGUUAUGUACUACCGUGAAAGUUAAAGGCAAGGCCUGCCUGCCACUAGUAUGAUCUACUUGUUUUACGUGAUAAAAGUGCAUCAUAACCCAAAACCUAGUUAAUCAAAAAAUUUCCCCAUCAACUAUCGCUGGAGAAAAUUAAAUCAGAGAAUUGACACAUAUGAAUUUGACCUAAAUCGAAUUAGGUUGAGGAACUCACCAGCUGCAAUAUGCCACCGAUCAUUGAUGUGUUGACGUUGAUACACAGUACUCCCACAAGUAGAGGUGAUCAGAUCCUGGAACGAAAGACCUGACUUAAUUACACCUCCCCCGCUUGUCACCACUGGAUCAAAUGACCAUUCAUUGGCCGUUGAUAAGAUUGCUUGUCACGGUGAUCGCAAUUAAGAACUGAUUCGAGUAAUUAAUUAGUUACGGUUCAUCUGGAACCAAUUGUAUUGCAAACUAUUACUCUAAACUGAAUGGCUGGUGAUAUUGCAGAGCAAAAAUUAGGAUCCAGACCAAAAUUCUGUUCAUGAGGCAACUUUGCCCUUACUUAAAGUUUUGCAAAUAAAUUUCAAUUUUUUGGGGGUCUCAAAUGAAACUCUCCUAAAUUUUUUAAUUCCUCCUCCUGGUUUCACCAAUUUAUCAAUCAAUCAUCCCUUGUCUAUUCUCUACCCCACAAUGUUUUACCAUCUUCAUUCUCCUUACCCCCAAACAACUAAGCCACUAACACCCCAACUAGCAACUCAAGCACCUAAUCAAAACCCAAAAGAACCUCGUGAUUUGAUUCUUCCUCUCGCACCUACUGGUGACUCUGUCAACAUCCUCCAAUACUGUAGAUCACUUCUGUUUCUUUUCUCAUCUUCUGGAAUUAAAAUCAAUGAUCAUGAAGAAAGAACAAAUAAAUGGGUUUUAGAAGACAUCUAUUUUUUUCCCCCAAGUAUUUAAUCACCCUUUUAUUUGUUGAACUUUUUAUAUUAUUUGGUUGGAAAAAGAGUCAAAGGGGAAGUUUGUCAAUUUCAAUUAGGGAAGAUUAAGCUUUUGUUGAAUUUUUUAGGUGAAACUGGGUUGGAGGUUAAUGUUUGCGGCAAUGAUAGCGGCUUUAUUGUUGUGGUGAUCAUGAUGAUCAAGAAUCUACAAAAUUUUUUUAGUUGGGAACAAGAAAAGGAAAAAAAGGUUUGUCAUGGGUUAUGGAGGAUUUAGUUGAAGUAAUAAUUCUUAAUAUAAAGAAGGGCAAAUUGUCUCAUAAAGUGAAAUUUGCUCUGAUCCUAUUUUUUGCUCUAGGAGUGCAUCUGCCAAACUGAACAUAUAAAUUCGACUCGCAGCUCUUAAUUAGAAGAUUUUUUUUUUUACUUUUAUUUGGGUAAGUUAAAUGUCCCAAAUCCUAUACCUUUUACUUACACUCCUUCCCCAGGAUCACCCAACCUAUCCUUUCCCCCACUCUUAGAGGAUUUUUUUUUUAAGUGUAAAUGAAAGGUCUUGAACACAGGCUUCUCAUUUACACUUUCUUCCCUCUAUACCACUCAAUACAUCCCUCCCCCACUCUUAGAAGAUUUUGAUGCACAAUUCUUAUGAAUUAUAGAUGAUUUAUUUUUAAAGCUGGAUCCUUAAAUUAUUGAACACCAUCUCAAGUUUUCCAGAAUUAUAUGCAGCUUCCCAAACUCUUAUUAUACGUAUCUUUUACCCCUCUCCUUGUUAAUAUCCCGGCGACUCCCCAAAAAAAGGUUAAUAUCAUGGUGAAUAUUACUAGUGUUUUAGGCAUACUCUAUAUGCAUGCUUAAUUUAAAAAAUGCAUAUUUUUGUUUGUGUUGAAAAUUAUAUAUAUAUAUAUAUAGUAUAUUACAAUAGGUAAUUAAAUUAAAAAUAUCUUGGUAGAGGAUGAAAUGGAAGUCUGCGAUUUUAAAACUUUAAAAAAAUUCAUGGAAAGGAUGGAGCGAAGUUUAAAGUUUUAAAAUUCAAGUGAAAUAAUAAUAAAUAUGGGAUCAUACAAAAUAACAACAAUUGUUAGCACUGCAAGCAUGCUCUCCAUUUAUAUAUAUGCAUGUAGUAUAGAUUUACAGUCUUAUAAAUAUGAUUAAUUUUUGUUACACUGACAAUAUAAAAAAGCUUACUCUAAAUAGGACAAAAGAAAUUAUGUGACAUAAUCGAAACCUACUAGUAUAGAACAAGUUGUAUACUGAAAAUGUAUAAAAGGCUUACUCAAAUUGAUAAAGAUACCCUCAUUCAUUACCAGGCUAACGAUACUACUCUCCUUCCAGUUCCUAACUUCUCGUACUCCUUGGUAGCCAUCGACUUUCUCAACCAGUCCCUCUUGUAAAAAUCUAUACGAAAUUUCUAAAUCUCUGAACAACCAAAAUUUUCCUCACCUUACUUUACUUUCUUUCCUUUUUUAUUGAUGCCCUUACAACCAUAAGGGUUUUGAAGCUCACUUGUCACGUGACAAUCUUUUUAUCUUUUCCAUUCUUUCUAUGUUUACAGCCAAAAAUCAAAUAUAUGUGAGACUAAAUGUAUUACAAAUGGGUCAUUCUAUUGCAAAAGUUUAAUGCUUAAGGAAGUUUUGCCCGUCGGAUUUCUCGAUCCUCUUCCGCCUGAAGAACGUCUUGCCAUGCAACAACAACAAGAAGCUGCUGCUGCCCCAACUAGUCAUCAUCAUCAUCCUCAUAAUGGGCGCCGUACUGUUUAUCCUUUGAUGUCUCCUCUUGAUCAUCCGGCGAAGGAGGAGCCAUUGGCUUUGGUGCACGUGGAUGAUGAUCACAACAAGGCUUCCAUUGUUGGUCCCGUAUUUCGGAAUGAAAGGAGGACCAGUAGUUGCGUUAAGCAGUUUUGGAAAGCUGGUGAUUGUUAUGAUGCCAACAUUUCUGCUUCAGAAACCUGUACCAUACUACUUAAUAACUAAUAAUGGAUGGAAGUUUUGGAUGUAUUUCCUAUUGGCUUUUCAUUCAUUUGAUAAGAAUUCACAUCUUAAGAGUUACAAACAAGAUUUACUCACCUCUAAUUAAGAGUAGUGAACCAGAUUAACUGAAGGACGAAUGAGGGCGUUGGACCGGGCUUAGUUUAAAUUGUUAAAUUUCAGUUUUCUUUUUGUACAUUCCCUGUAGCCAUUCUGACAAAUUUAGUGUCCUCUAAUUUAAAACAGCACUAACGACCAUAUAGUUACCUGUGAAAGGGAUUUAUUGGAGCAGCUAUGGGUAACCUCUAGUACUGCAGACGUCAAGAGCUUUCUUCAUUUACUUUUGUCCUUCCGGUUAGACAUUUACAGCAUUUUUUUCGGUAGGUUAAAUUUCAAGUCUCUUUCAGACAGAAAUACUUUUACAGCUAAAAAACUUUGAUUAUAGAACUAAAUGAAUUCAAUGGCUAAUACAUCUAUGGCGAAGUCUAUCUGUUUAUGUGCUUCUAAGCUGCAAGCUUUGCAGUAUGAAAAAGAUAGAAACAAGUCACUGGAAAACAAAUCAAGUCUUUAAUUUGAAAUAUGAUUUUGCUGGAUAAGACAGGAUGUUUGUAGUUGAGCAAGGGGCAUCAUGAAGGAAUUCUCAAAGAGAAUCAUCUGUGGGUACUGUGCUUGUUAAUAUGUUAUUAGAAACUUGAGGAAACAAUUAUGGAAAAGCUUGAAGCUUCCUAGAGACCUGUCUACAACUGUCAUUUGAGCAUUUUUGUGUGAUUGAAACAACUAUUGAACUUUUCUAUUUAGAUUCAGGAGGUGGCGCAAAAGCUUAAAGAAAUAAAUAGAGAGACUGAAGAAGAAAUGGGUAAACGAGAUUUAAGAGAAGAGGCUUUGAGGAACAAAGCAAUGGUGUGUACAACUAUUAUUUUCUUCUUGGUACUUUGAUGUUUUUGUUCUUUCUCAGCUUCCGUGUUAGGUAGCCUGUAGAUUGUGUAUGAAACUUUAAUUUCUCCGUUGCAGGUUGCUGCUGACGUCAUUGAGGAGUUACGCAAUAAAAUAAAUCUUUUAGAAAGAACGAGAGCAGUUUUUUUAUUCAAUCAGACCGCCAGCUGAAUGAUGGAGUUUUUUUUUUUUUUUUUUCUCAUACACUAAUUAUUAAGUCUGCAGCUUAAGCGUAACAAAUACUAGCAAAAAGCCUAGAGAUUUAUUGUGUGGAAAGAAGCUGAAAAGGCACAGACCGGAGUUCAAAAAUUAGGGUCAUGGGUAAUCUAGGACCAGUUUGUUCCAUUCGUUUGAACCUAGUCAUAGACCUUUGUCACAAGUUACGAACUCUACUUGUAGAAGUAUGAAUGAGAGAAGAUUGAGAGUUUUCUGGUGUCGUCUCUUUAUCUAGAAUUAAGCUAUAAAGUGUUCUCAUUUUAGUCAGAAAUUAAGCUAUAAAUAUUUUUACAAGAUAAAAGCUCGCGUACUCAUCAGUAAAUUACAAAAGCUCGUGUAGUCAUCAUUCAACAGCAAUCAUGCUGAAUGUUGCCCAUGGUACAGUACACAUUCCUCUCAACUGUGCUGUGCCAGAUGUAAUUGUUUCAGUGCAGUAUGUUGCACACGCAUUCGGCUGUAUCGUAUAUGACUACUUGCAUAGUAAUGGGUGUGGCAUGAUCUUGAAUUAUUCAAUCAGAGAAGGUUUUCUGUAAGUUUGAUUUGGAAAAUUCCGAAUGACAGUUGUUCCAGUUAGUACAUAAACCUUUUUUAAAAAAAAAAACCCAUGCAGUCAAUUUAUUUUAUCAUUUCGCCAAUUUCUUGAACUCAUGAAGCAAUCUAUAUUUUACUAUGAUUACCCGACACAAGUCGACACCUGUUUUCUUUUAUAGUAAAGCCGUAGAUAAGCGGAGGUGAGGUGAGAUUUUAUAGCUGGUAUCUAGGGGUGCUGUUCUUGUGGGGUUGUGGGAGGAGAUGGACGAUGGUACGGUAUCCAGGUUCUUGGGUCUCCAAGAUUAAAUUUUGGUGGUACUGGUGGUGGGGGAGGAGGAAAUCGAGGAUAAUUAGGUAUCCAAGUUCUAGGAUCUCCAGGAUAAGAUGCAGGUGGAGGAAGCAGGGGAGGUGCUUGAGGGAAGGGAGGAAGAGGAGGGAAUGUGAAGGACGGUGGUGAUGGAGGAGGUCUAGGAUAUGGUACUUGAGGGAAAGGCCACGAUGGAAACGGAGGUAAAUAUGGUAAUGGCGGCAGGGGAGGAAGAGAUGGUAAUGGUGGCAGGGGAGGGAAGGGGAAUGACGGAAAUGGGGGCAAUUGAGGCAAAGGUGGAAACUGGGGCAAAGGGGGCCAUGGAAUGCUCCCAUAGUAGGGAGGAAAAUAAGGCAAGAAAAACUUGGAGGAAUUGAAAGAGUAUGGCAAUCUCAUCUUUUUAUUCCCACAUAAGGUGACAUUCCUUGUAAAUGGCCUAUAACUGAGAGCACUCAGGCUGUAUAUACAUUGAUUGUUCUGUUUUGAUUUGAUUGUGAUCUCAUUAGUUGUUCUCCUAAGCCCCGGAGCGCUGCAAGCCGGAGAUAAACUCCCUUUCAAGCUUGCUUCACAGAAUGAUUGAAUAUCCGGGUGUCCAGUGCAGUCAAUUCCCUCCACGGAUGGUAUGUCCAGGUUGUAAAUUCCAUGUCUAUUCGUAGUUCUGUUGACUGAGAAGGUUAUCUGUUCGGUUGUUCCGGGCGAGAUUGCUCUGAAUUUGCACUGAAUAUGCACUUGGGCACCUAACAAAAUGUAAUCGGGGUGUAAAAAUUAGAAUCACAACUUUCCAGAGGGCAAAGGGCAAGAUUAGACUCUCUAUAUUCGACGAGUUGUUUGUUUAAAACUUUAAUUUGAGGAGUAAAAUAGCUUACCUGGCAAGAAGUAGCUGCGCCGUGAGAAAGUGUUAUCGUAACAUGCAUCACAGAAAACUGAACCUUGUACGGUGAUAUGGGAGGUGGGCUGUAGGGGUUGAGCUAGCAGGACAAGGGGAGGCUGGACGCAUAAAGUUGCAAGAAGAAGAAGGAGAAGAAAGAGAAACAUUUUGUCAUCCACGGAAGCAAACAUGGUAGCAAAUGGCAUGUUGGGAACAGAAGCUUCUAUUGAUCAUUUCUCGUAAUGGCUGCUUGGUAGUACUUGUAGCCCAUCAAAACCAUCUGAAUCAUUUUCAAUAUACAUUAUACCAAAAAAAAAGGAAGAAGAAGAAAGAAAUUUCUGUAUGCAUAUAAUUGAGCCCGUGAAUAGUUUGGCGGGAGGACCAACUGUGUAUUUUAAUUCCAAGUUGGAAACAGUUUAGGGCGUACGUUUAUGAUUUAACAAUGCAAACCAACGCAUGUGAACUGAUUGAAGUAACCUUCUGGCGGAUGGUGGGGAUUGUAAGGCUAGAAUCAUGAGAAGCAUAGAAGAGCAUGAAUAAUAUUCACGGGCCGUAUGGAGGAUGGCACGAUGGGAGGGAGGGAUCUCAGUUGUGGGUCGCAAGGAUGAAGCAGAAGAAGGUUAAAUUCCCAGCUGUCGAUGAUCGAAACAUGUGUCAAGUCAACAUAUGCUUUUAUGAAGACAUAUCUCCUGAUCAGAUCAGUUGCCUGUAUUUUGUACUUCACAGUCACGGGUUGCCAUCACGAAGCAUUUACACUCCUUAUAACACUUGCUGAGGGAAUGAUAAAGGAAAACUCUGAAGACGCGAUGAAAAGUAAAAAGUGUUUGUAGUCAAGAAUAAUAAUAAUAAUAUUGUCUUGUUUCGAUUGUUUUGUUGUCUCGUAAACCUUGCGAAGCAUGCCAUGCCAUGCCAAAAUAUGAAUCAUUAUUUUACUGAGAAAUUUCUAAUUUUGUGAUGAAAUUUAAAAAAAUUCUACAAAAGGGGUGAUUUUGGCAAUGAAUUCCGUCCGGGGGUCUUCGCAUUCGUGAAAUGCGAGCUCAGUAGAGCUCGCAUUCGCGAAAUGCGAGCUCUACUUAUUGAGCUCGCAUUCCGCAAAUGCGAGCUCUAAUAAGUGCAUGCACGUAUUUUUUUUAUUUUUUUUUUGGUAUUUUACUUCCUUGCCUUAAGUUGCCUGCAGAUGUUUGUUUUACAAAUAUAUGGUAUACUAAAUAUAUAGUAUGCACAUUAAUUUCUUUGGAUUGCUUAAGGGUAUAUUGUUAAUAAUAGGGGGUUUAACCAUAAAUUAUAACAAUUAUGAAGUAAUAUAUAUUAGAAAAUUAACACAAUUAUGAAUUUUUUUUUUGUAAAAUUCAAAUUUAAUUACUAAGAAAUGAAAUAGGCAGUAAGCAUUUACAAACGGAAAACAAAAUCCUACAACAACUCUAGGACUCUACACCUUAUUAAAAAAAAAAACCAGUUCUCUAUACCUCAGAGAAGCUAAACAAUCCUACAAAUAAACUGCAAAAUAAAUCACAAUAACGCAAAUUAUGUUAAGCUAAUAAAUACUGCUGUGCAACAAAAUUUUUGUCUUUGUCCCGCGUGAAACUACAAAGUCAAGAAAUCUGCCUAAACAUUUUGUUAGCAUUUUUCCAAAAGCAGAAGAUCAUAUGCCGCAGGUUAUACAAGCUCCAAAAACCGACUCCUUUGUAGAAUUCCUUUUUUUCCAUCAUAAACUAAGAAUUCACCCCUGCCUGCUGUCAUACCACAUAUGCCGCGACAAAUUUCUAAUUUUGUGAUGAAUUUUAAAAAAAUUCUACAAAAGGGGUGAUUGUGGCGAGCUAAUCACAUUCUUAUUUUGCUCAACAGAGAUGCAUCAAUUUUUUUGCUAAUUUUUUUUCGGAGGCAGAGAUUUAUAUUUUUGUAUUAAAACAAAAUGUUUAAAGAUGUCGCAUGCGCGUUCCCAUUCCUUAAAAAAAAAAAAAAAUUUCUUCGGAGGUCUGCUAUUGAGCUCGCAUUCGCGAAAUGCGAGCUCAAUAAGUUGAGCUCGCAUUUAAAGACACUAAGUAUAAUGUAAUUUUUUUUGCUUUUUUUUGGGAGCUAGAGAAUUUUUUCAAGAAAAUAGUAAGAGCUAAAUGCGAGGUCCUAAAUGUUUUUUUUUUUAAAUUUUUCAAAUAUCUCGCAUUUGAUAAAUUUGACCUCCAAAAAUUGUAUUUAAUUUUUGUGUUAGAUUUCGCAUUUAUAAGUAUGGCUUUCAGAAAAAUAAAUUCAAACUUGGUAGAAAAAAAAUUGAAAAUGAAAUUUACGAGCUCAAAAAAAAUGUACAAUUAAAUGUAAAUGUUGUUUGUUUUGUAGAAUUUGCCUUUACUAAAAUGCUAUCGGUAGUAAAAUCUUAUUUUAAAAUCUCAACUAAAAUCUUAUAUUUUGGAGAAAUGUUAGAGAAAUUUUAUUUAAAAAUCUGUAAUUAGAAGAGGAAUAAAAUUUUUUUAUUUUAAAACUUGCACGUGCCUAAAGUCAUCAAAUAUGUGCUCUAAAGAAAAAUCAUAUUCACAACAAUCUUUUUAAUAUAAUUUACUAUACAUGCAUAUUUCUUUUAUAUUAAAAAAAAUUGGUAAUUUUACGGUUGAAAAUACGUUAUUUUAUUAUAAUACAUUUAAAUGGUGGAAAAAGAACACAUGCAUCGUUCUUUCUAUUUCAUAGAUCAAUGUAAAAAUAGAAUGAAAUUAUUAACAUGUAAGGUGUUGACUAUAUUUUAUGAAUAAAAUACUAACUUUUGAUCUUUUUUUCUGAAAUAAAUUUAUUUAUCAAAUUCUAAUUUUCCUUUGUUAUUAAUGAAUCGUAUUUAUUUUGUUGACACCGAUGAAUAUUAGUUAUAAGAAUCUAAUAAUUAAUAGUCAUUAAUAUCUGUUACAAUUUUUUUAUUGUAAUUUUAGAAAUUCCAUAACGCAAUGCUAUUUAAAAAAAUUAUAUAAGUUAUUUUUAUGAAGUGCAUGUUAUUUGUUUGGUAGUUGAAAAGGAAAAGAAAAAAAUUAAAUCAAAUAUCUAGCGAUUAAAUCUUGCGUGUUUUACCUUUUACAAUUGAUGCGAAUGUAGAUAUUUUUAGAUGAAGAUCACCGGUUACUGAACAUUUCACAUACUGAAGUUGCUUUUCAUACUCUUAAUUUAAGUAUCGUUUUACGCGAAAGUCGACAUUUGUAGAUGAAGACUCCCGGUUACUAAGUACAAAAACAUUUGGAGUAGAAUAACCCUUUUUUGUUUUGGUGUAUAUAUAAUAAAAUUCCCUCUAAGAAUAAUCAUGAGAAAAGUAUGACACUUAUUGACCAUAUUAAUUUCUUAACUUAUAAAAUCAGAGAAAAAGAAGAAUUUUCAUCAAAUGUGCAAAAUGUAGUCAUAAAUUUGUCCACUUUACUAGAUAUACUUUCCUAUAGAUGUAAAAAUUAUAAUCACAUAAAAAUCAUUUCCCAAAUUCAAUGAGAAAAGAAGUUUCAAAACUAUAUAUAUUUAUUUCAAAAGGAUAAGUGAAAAAAAUUUAUUUAUUUAUUAUGGUUAAUAACAUAUAUAUGUAUAAGGUUUUGGAAAAAUUUUGGCAAAGUCUCCCCUUAAAAGUGGACUAAAACUCCCUGCCACCAACCACAAGAAAUACAAUUUCAGCACAACAAUUAUAUGAAACACAACUAAAACCACAAGUACCACACAUAUUUCUCCCCCCACACUUAAAUUACACAUUGUCCUCAAUGUGUAGGGAAGAAAUGAAACAAAAGAAGAAAAGAAAAGAAAGAAGUUUUCCCCAAGUCAAUGGCUGAGAUCCUUAUCAGCCACUAUUCACGAACCACUGUCAAAAUACAAGUGCCUACCAAAUAAAAAACAGAAAAAAUAAAAUGAAGUUAAACAUCUUAAGUUCCACAAGUUAAGAUAAUUAGGCAAGCAAAUCCACCAACUAAAGAUAGCUUCUGUAGUGCGCCAUGUCAAUCAUCCCCCUCGGCAUCAUCGUCAUCCUCUGCAUCACGAUUGGUUGGUGGAUGAAUGCCCAAAUGAUCUUCAAUUCGGCUUAGACGAUUCCUAACGUCAGCAAACUGGAAUGCAAAGUCUUCGAUAUGGUCAAAGAGUCGCUGCCAAUUAGUCUGCGGUGGAGGAGGAGGUGGUGCUGCAGUAGAUGGUCCAGCUUCAUCCCGACCAUGUCUAGCCUUCUGUCUCCGCUCCUGAACAGGGCGUGGAAUGCCAAUACCAAGGCGGCGAAGAGUAGUGAUAGUCAUCUCAGCCCGUGGUGGAACAAUCUCCCCUAUAAAUGGGCUAAAACUCCCUGUCCAACAAACCUAAUUACUGUCAUUUUAAAUUGCACAAGACGUAUUAAAGUACUUUAAAUCCAUCAAUUCACCUUCAAAUAAAUCCAUUUAAUUUCAUUAACGCCUUCGUGGUUUUGAAAAGCUUUAACAAACUAUACUAUUUCAUUGUUUGGACGUCCAUAAAAUGUAGUUGUUAACUAAAACUUAAUACCGAAUGACAACUAUGACCCGCCUACAAAUUGCAAAAGAGAGUUGAUUGACAUGCGAAUUGGAAGAAUAUGUUUCAUUUUUUGGGCUCCACAUCCAUAUAGCUAUACAAGAUUUAUGUUCAUAUACGUGUGCUAUUUUCAUCAUCAACAGAAUAAGAUUUUUUUGGCUAUAUCCAAAGGCCACUUGACAGCAUUAUCCGUUAUUUCCCUAACCUCGACAUGCAUAUACUGUAAAUAUAGACUACAAUAUUAGAUAUAACUUUAAAUCCAUCGAUUCGACUUAAAAUAAAUCCGUUAACGUGUUCUAACGCCCUCUUCUACAUCCAGAAGGUUGCCCUCACAAAGAACACUCUACAAAAAAUUCGACAGAGUCUCCCCUAUAAAUGGGCUAAAACUCCAUGUCAAACAAUCCAAAUAUCCAUGAAAUUCAAAAGCUCCAAUCUAUAAACUACAUACUGUCAAUAAAAUUUCUAAACUCCAAUUGCAAAACAUACAAUGUCCAAUGUAGAUAGUGAUUCGACCAAAAAUAACAGCUGCGAAAUAGAUUUUAAAAACAAAAACUGAAAAGUAGGCACUUGCCACCCAAAUUUGGUACAUAACCCUUGCCCCCACAUUGAGUAUUAUAGACUUUGUCUACUAUGUGCUUAGCAUUUUAGACAAUUAUUUUGUACAUUAAAAUAGUCAGAGAUGAUUAAUUAUUAUCAUUUUAAAUUACACAAGACAUAUUAAAGUACUAAUUAUUGUAAUUAUUAUCAUUUCAAAUUAUACAGCGCGUAUUAAAGUACUAAUUAUUGUAAAUGGCUUUUAUAACUACAUUAGUGAAAAAUAAGUAUUUGUCAAAUAUAUUUAUAUACACUUGUUAAAGUACGACAAUAGUGUCUAAAUGUAUAUAAAAAAUAAUUAAAUGGCAUGCUAAGACUGUUAAAGCAAUGGAAAUGCAUCCAACACAACUUCAAAAAACGCGCAUCAAAUUUUAGGUCACGCUAACAUAUAUUGUAAUUUUAGCAAAAUUUAUUUUUCCAUUUUAGUUCAAGGCCCUUAUUUUUCUAAAAUCUUCUCUACGAACACAACUCUAAUGUACGAUUUACCCAUAGCUGUCCUAGAGAAAUUCGUUUCUCAUUUGCAUCUCAUGUUUAAUUCCCUUAAUUAGAAUCCAUUUUCUAUUUUAAAUGGAACUUGCCCCUUUUUUCCUUUUUUUUUGUUUUAUCUUCUUCAACACAAAAAAAUAGACUUUUUUUAAAACGUUAUUUCAAGUUCGUCCAAUGUUAGAAUAUUUAGUCAUUUCCUAUGCCUUAUCGGAAAAAAAAAAUGAACAACAACCCGUUCGUAGUACCACUACCUCUCUAUCCGCCGUAAACAAUAAAAUGAGACUAGCACCACUUUUCUUUUUAGAGUUACAUGUACAGAAAAGAAAUUAAUCCUAAAUUUCAUUCUAAUUUUAAAAAAAUUUUAAAAAAUAGUUGAAACAAUUAAAUGAACUUUUUCCUUAAAAGGGGUUUUAGCUUUAAACUAUUUUGCAAUAUUUGUCAAAAAACUAUUUCCUUCUUUUUCCAGCUCCACUGUCCACACGGGCACAAUUACCGUAACUACAACAAAUUGGAAACAGAAAAAUUGCAACAAUUCGAACAAUGUAACGUAAAUCCUCAAAUCCACCACAAAAAUUACAAAAAUAAGCACAACCUACAUCAAAUUUAAACCCAAAUUUCACAACAAAUCUGAACUUCCCUUUGGAUUCAAGUAUUCAAAUAUUAAUUAAACUUAAAAUGUGAAGCAUUGCAAAUGGAAAGGGCUCACCUUUAUGCUGUUUGGCACUUGAAGUGGGACGGCAAUGCUGGCAAAUGUUGGGUCGGCAAUGGGGCGGCAGUGGGUGGGCAAAGUCGCAAAUGGGUCGCCAAUCAGUGGGUGUAGAAGCCCGUCUAUGGCUGCAAUCUGGAUGGCUUGCUUCAGCGAGGCAGAAACUUCAGAUUUGCGUGGCUUCCGGCGGAGCAGAACAACAGAGAUGGUGGCGCCGCUCCUCCAAUUUCUGCCGUCCGGCGUUAAUAGCAGCACAAAACAGGACACAUGGUGGCCAGCUCUUUGGAUGCUUCGAUGUGCAGAACCCAGCUCAGUUUUUUUCAAUUGCGAGGCAGCUAUGGCAGGAGUUUGCUGGCCGGCUCGGUUUUCUUUGUUUUGCUGUGAAAUAAUCCAAGAAAUGCGUUCUGCAAUUGUCUUGACUGAGUCAAAAGUCUUGUGGUCACUGAGCUCGCAUUUCCGAAAUGCGAGCUCGAUGAGCUCGCAUUCCGGAAAUGCGAACACCCUAUUUCAAGAACACUACCCAAAAAACGCCCCACUUGUAGAACACUUUUUUUUUUUCGCCAUAAAGUAAGAAUUCUCCCUUAUUUUACUACUACAAUACUAAAAAGCCAAUAGGAGGAUGGAUACUCGUACUCUGGGUGGACUACACCUAAAAUUUAGCCGAUUCGAUGCAUGAGUUUUAGCCAACAUGAUUGAUGCAAUAAUUCAUGCAAAUGAUCAACUUUUACUGCAUGCAAUAGUUUUGGAAGACGAUGGGCAUCUCCGGAUUGUCAUUUCAUCCGCAAGCACUCUUCACUCUUCAGUACUCUCUGACUCUGGGUUGAGUUUAUCUUAACACUGCGUGGCCUCAGCAUCUUUUCUUGGCUACGAUAAGUCAUUUGGUUAUCUCAACUGUUUCUAAGUUGCUUCUUCUGUAAUCCAUAACUGGGGAGGGGAAUAUCGAUCACUCGCUGCUAAGGGUUGGGUGAAUUCUUAGUUUGUGAUGAAAAAAAAAAGAAUUCUACAACGAGGGCGUUUCCUGGAGGGGUUUCUGUAAAUGGGGGGUCUUCGCAUUUUGAGAAUGCGAGCUCAAUUGGAGCUCGCAUUUCGGAAAUGCGAGCUCAGUGAGCUCGCAUUUUCAGAAUGCGAGCUCACUGAGCUCCCACUACCCAGCGCCAAGACCCCAUUUCAAUUUCAGUAUGUCAAAUGUUGUGUAACCGGUGAUUUUUAUCUAAAAAUAUCUACAUUCGCAUCAAUUGUAAAAGGUAAAACACGCAAGAUUUAAUCGCUAGAUAUUUGAUUUCUUUUCCUUUUCAACUACCAAACAAAUAACAUGCACCUCAUAAAAAUAACUUAUAUAAUUUUUAAUUAGCAUUGCGUUAUGGAAUUUCUAAAAUUACAAUAAAAAAAUUGUAACAGAUAUUAAUGACUAUUAAUUAUUAGAUUCUUAUAACUAAUAUUCAUCGUUGUCAACAAAUAAAUACGAUUCAUUAAUAACAAAGGAAAAUUAGAAUUUGAUAAAUAAACUUAUUUCACAAAAAAGGAUCAAAAGUUAGUAUUUUAUUCAUAAAAUAUAGUCAACACCUUACAUGUUAAUAAUUUCAUUCUAUUUUUACAUUGAUCUAAUUUAUUUCCACCAUUUAAAUGUAUUAUAAUAAAAUAACGUAUUUCAUAAAUUUUUUUUAAGGAAUGCAAACGCACAUGUGACAUCUUAAAACAUUUUGUUUUAGUACAAAAAUAUAAAUCUCUGCCUCCAAAAAAAAAAAAGAAAAAAAAUUUGCAUCUCUGUAAUGCGAGCAACAGAGCUCGCAUUUCAGGAAUGCGAGCUCUGUUGAGAGCUCGCAUUCGUGAAAUGCGAACUCUCCUGAGCUCGCAUUUCACGAAUGCGAAGACCCCCCGACAGAAUUCCUCGCCACAAUCACCCCUUUUGUAGAAUUUUUUUAAAAUCCAUCACAAACUUAGAAAUUUCUCCGUCAUUCUGAGAUCAAUUUCGAAGGCAAACAAGGCGCGCGGCAAAUCUUCUUGAUAGAUAACAAAUCGCUUUGGCUCUUUCCUUUUUUCGACUAUAUCACGAAUUGACCUUCAAACGAGAUGUGAUUCCUGAGUAAGAUCAUUGAAACUUUGACGCGCAUUCUGUAAGCUAGAUCGACGACGGUGAAGGCUACAGCAGCAUGGAGCCUGGUUCGACUUCGAUCGUCAAAUGUCAAUACCCCUUUUGAUAAGACGACCCCCUUUUAAAAGCCUGACAUGUUUCCAUAUGGAAGGAAGCUGGCUGAGUUUCUCAUUUCUCUCUGCAAUCACACAUCAAGAAGUUUCGCUGGCUUAAAGCUGUGUGCACUACUAAUCUUCCAUUCAGAAGAAAAAAAAAGAAAAAAAGGGUUGUGUGCACUAACAUAACAUCAUCAUACUCGGUGCGAUAAUAAAUGUAGUAGUUUCUAAGAUAAAUAACAUGCAACGAUACAUUUAAAGUUUGUUACUCGUUGAGAAUUACGUUUCACCAUCAACUCUAUCCAUCCAAUGAAUGCAAAAAUUAGAAAGCAGCUAGAGCAAAGGUCCAGGACCAGCAUUUACGCUGGAUUUUUGGAUGUUCCUUUCCAUAAGAAUAAGAAUCAUAGCUUGUGUUAUUUACGAUUUAGUUGGGAAUGAAUUGUUCUCAAUCUAAAUGAAAGAAAAAAUUUUACGAUAAAUUGCUUGAAAAUUGACAAUUCUAAGGCGGAGGAGUAUGAUGAAAUAAAAAAUUCAAAGAGGAGAUUAUUGAUAGCUGGGUCAUGCAUAUUAGAGACACCGCCGUUCAUAUUAUAGUUUGAUCCUAACUGGAAACUGGAAGACGUGAUGCAUCAUUGUAAGGCUAAUCAUCAAUCAACGUGCAAACAUUCUUACAAAAGUCUUGUUCAAAAUAAUUUUGAGAAGACAACUCAAAAUCUGCAACAAAAAUAACAAGGAGGAGUGUUGGAAUAUCAAUGCAAUUUCGACUGCAAAUUUCUAAUUUUAGAAUAGUUCAAUUUGAUCUGUAAAGUUUAGUUAUUGGCUGAUUAUUACAGUUGUUCCGUCAUUUAUAGUCUUCUUACUAGUUCAAUUAUCUUUGAUUUUUUUUCAGUAUUUUUGUUAAGCUUGUUCAUUAGGAGAUGCUUUUGUUAAGAUUGUUUAUCAGGAGAUGCUUGCGUUUAAUUUGUGAGGAGGGCAGAUGAUCAAUAAAAAAAUAUAUAUAUAUAUAUAUAUAUUAUAAGAAUCUCAGCCCCUCCGGGACGUUCCAGUCUAGCGACAGGCCCAAUGGGAUGGCAAACAAAAGAGUUUCGGAGAGCGUGUAGCGAGGUACAAAGCCCUUUGGGCUGUAUUGAGUGGAGCAAACCCGCAUCUCCUGGCUCAGGAAUUCUUGACGCGAGAUCUUUUCUUGGGCCGUUGCACAACGGUUGAUCGAAACUACCUUUCAAAUUGUUCAGCCCACAGGUCUCUCUUAACCCAUUCCAAAUCCAGUGUUGCUUAUUAAUUAUAUCAUUCUCUUUGAACCCACAACGAUGUUCGACCACCCAAUUGACCAUGAAACUUUGUAAAUUUGCACUAGGGAUUAUCAUCGUUCGACUUCUCUCUCAAAUAAGAAAAUAAUUAUUCCAUUUUCUUAUGUUAUCUGACGUGGAUCAGUAAUAUCAAGGUCUUAAUAUUGUUGUGACAGUUAACGUAAGGUUAGUUGAGGUAGGAGCUUUGAUGCCCUGUCUUCGACAAGUCAUUUAUAACAUUUAUUUUCAAAUUAGAGGAAAAGUAUAAUACAUACAUAGAUAUAUCCAUUGUACGAUAUUGGGUUGAACGAAAAAAGAGUUCAUUUGACCAACCAAAGAGGCAGAAGUCUGCGGCACAGAUACUUUACAUAUUCUACAGUAUUUUUGUAAAAAAGUAAAAAAAAAAAAAAGAGGAAUGUAUUACGCAUUACCAAGAUUCAAAAUGACAAAAAUGUAGUGUACCAUACGUAACAAAGAAAAGAAAAGGAGAUCGAUGGUUUCAUUGAACUCUUAAACUCUAUACAAUGGAGGAGUCGAGUACAUUUACUUGCUAAAAAACAGGUGAGCAUAAACUCGAUGGAGAAUUAGUCUUGGGGAAAAAAAAAAAGGAAACCCGCUGGGCAGAUGGGUUCAAAAUGGAGGAAUCCAAUUGGCCUAUAACAAAAUAAAAGCGCAAACCAAUUUGUAGUCCUCUCCCUGCUCUGCCCCGUUCCUUGUUAAACCGUGCAUGUGUAUGGGAUAGAAAUUCAUCAAUUAAUACUUGCUAGUUAGCAGUAGAUGAAGAUGAGAGACGUAAAUACUAGCAGUAUUGAUUAAUUAUAUAUGCAUACAUAUAUAUAUAUAAAUUUUUUUUUUUAAAGCCAAAGAGCUCCGGCUUCUUUGAGGAGGGGGACCAAUGUCCCAUUGAUAUGGGAAGCCAUGACCCUGUCCAUGGCACCCACGAGCUUCCCUCCGAUGAACACCACCGGAACAGGCGGCGAGUUCCCAAGGAGCCUGAUGAGAGCCCUCUCGAUUUCUUUGCCCCUGGGGUCUUGAUCCAGCUCGUAAACAGUCGGGUUCACUCCCAUCCCGCAAAACAGCCUCUUGACUGCAUGGCACAUGCAGCAAGUGCUCAUGCUGAAUAUCACCACCGCACUCCCCGAUGCCAGCCUCACCACCCUCUCCAACGGGUCCGCUCCUCCCAUGCUGAUGCCGUGCCUCACCCCCGCCGCCGGUGGUGCAGCUGCAUAGUAGCCCCACGACUCGGCCGCCGCCUCCUGGUAAUGCAUUCUUCUCGAUUUUGAUUACGUAUCACGCUUCGAUCUGAAGGACCUACGUGUUGUACGACAAUUAGCAAGUUAACGUGAAUACAGUAAGGGUGAGAUUUGAGAAAGAGUUCUCUUGUAAGCAGAAGCAGUACGAUGAAGUUUUUAAGGCGGGGAUCGAAUUCUAUUGUGGAUGCUGCGAUAUAUAUAUAUAUGUGUAUGUAUGUAUAUAAGGUGUGAGGAAGAGAUGGAGAAUGGAGGACGGUGGAUGGUGUGUUUAUAUAGGAGUGAGUGAAGUGCCCGUAUUUGUAGUACAGAAGAAGAAGUAGAGUAUUGAAGUAGUGAAUACUGGAAUAGUAGCAGUGUAGCAUUCGGCUUUAAGGAUUCAUUUUCAUUAUUAAUAUUAGGAGGAGUAAUACUGGAACACCGGCAUUUUGGUACAUGUGCUGGGAGAGGGAGGGCCGGGGGAGGGGGUUUGUCUGAUGUUGUCGCAACGCGUGCUCAGGGAAAUCGACCUACGUAGUCUUUUGCUCUAAAAGGAUAGGGCAAAAAAUUUGUACGCACAUUUCUUUGACCUUUUGUUGCAGUACAUACUCCUUCAGUAGAGUAGACAACACAGAGACAACGGGUCUGAAAAUGAACUUUUCUUUUGCCUUCAUUUACUAAGCAGAAGCUGGAAAAGCCGAAAAGGUGGCAGCAGCUGAAGGCGGCGACAUGGGAUACGUCUACUCUCUCUAGAGGAUUAAAACUCCCCACCCCACCCCUUCCCAAAAAAAAAGAAUGAAGAAGCACUAGGAAGCACUGGUACGUACGUCGGGGUAAGGGCUUUUUUUUUUUUAAAAAAAUUAUAACGUUAAUAUUUUUAUAAUCUAAUUUAUCUUAUCCUACGAGAAGAGGGAGUCUAAAAAGAUUAUGUAAAGACUAAUAAACAUAUAGAUUUAAUUAGACCAAAAAAAUAUUUUAUCACUUUUUUUACAUUUUUUCAGAGUAUAUAAGAUUUGAAUUUCCGAUCUACAGUUCAAAAAUGGACUUAACCUCUUUUUGAUGUUCACUGAACCAAAAAUUAUGUAAAGACUAAUAAAUAUAUACAUUUGAUCAGAUCAAAAAGAUAUUUUGAUACUUCGUUUGUAUUUUUUUAAUACAAAUGAGAUUUAAACUUCCGACCUAACCUACAGUUAAAAUAUGGACUUAACCAACUCCUUGGCUAGGGACUUAUUUGGUUCCGGGGACUUUGUACAAGAGUGAUUUUUUAGAGGCUAGGGAGACAUGAAAGCAGGCUUUUUCAGUGAAACCUACACGGCUGCUGCGAGGUAUGUUAGUUCGUUUAAAGAAAGAAAGAAAAAGAGAAAGAUAGAGAGAGGUGAAGAACAAAGAGAGGGGAAUGGAAUGACUCGGAUUUUUUUUUUCUUUUUUAAAAUAGACGGCUGUCUCUGUCCUUGUUGUCGGGGCUUUGCUCUGCUGUUGUGGGCAGCACUAUUAAUUAAUAAAUACUAGUACUCCUAGUAUUAUUGCUUCCUAUCGCAUUUUGCUUUAUGACGUGACCUUAAUAGGACGCUGCCCUUCCCCGAACCCACCCCCUGCCCCCUCCGGCCCUCCCCUACCCCAGUCGUUUCUGUAUUAAUUAACUUUGAUGCUUUAAUCUAGAUAAACAAUUAAGACUAUGGUGCAACGUUCUUAAAGAUAUGGUAGUUACUAACUAGUCUAACUUAAUUGCUAGCAUGUGCGUGUGUGUGUGUGCAUGUGCGUGUUUGUUUUUUUCUAUUAAUCUUCAUUUUGACUGUGAUUAUGUUAAAAUUAGCAAGGCCAUGCCAAUACUAAAGAUUGCUAGCAGAUUGGGAUUUGGGUUCUGAUUUUCUUGGUAUGUGGAAAUUGACUGAGUCAGUUUUCGCUCUAAUUUUCAUUUCCACACUUAGUAUAGACUAUAGAGGCGAGUAGUUUAUCAUCAGUGAAUACAGUGUAGAGAUGUUUGCGGAACAUCAGACGAUAGUUAGUUAAGUCAGUCAGAAACAAGUAACUAUAUAUACAUGGUUAGGCACCACCAUUUUUCGUAGAGAUGCUCAAUUCAUUGGUACAUGCUGAAUUUAUUAGAACAUGUAACGCAUCUAAAUCGACAGUGACGAUCCUUAAUAUGUUUCUACACACACACAUAUAUAUAUAUAUGGGAUAUCAAUAGUUUUCGUCUGUUUACUCUUUAACCUUUUAAUUAUUGUAAAAAUUUAUGUGGAUAACCUUUUGCUUCUCUCGACGGAGGAGAUGUAAUGCCACAAUGCAUCAUGUUGGAAUAAUGAGGACUGGAGAGAAAGACGGUCCAUUGUUCUGUUCUUUCGACAAAUUCAUCAAAGAACACAGUGUAAUAUUACGAUAACACUACUAUAACGACAUCCCUCUAGCAUUAUAGUAAUAUUUUGUCUUAAGUACUAGUAGUAUCAGUUUUUUUAUUUUUUUUUGGGGGGGGGGGGGGGGGGGGGGUUGUGUAUGUGUGUGUGGUAAGUGGUAAGUGGUAAGGAUCAAGGCUUUUAGUGAGUGAGUUGCUAGUCCGAAGUUGUUUUUGGGCAAAUAAGGUACUCACACGGCUAAAAGUAGAAAAAAAAGGUGGUGGGCAAAAAUUGGCCGUGAUUAAGGCUUUGGAGCAUAUAUAUGCACGAUGUUGUACUCACUUCUACGGGUCACGAUGUUGUACUCACUUCUACGGGUGUAAAUUAACAUAAUUCUUUUUUAGACUCGCGAAUAGUUCGAUUAAAGGUUCGACUCGAGCUCAUAGUUGGUCGAGAUCAAAUUACUUGAUAAAGUAAUUGAGUUGAGUUCAAAUCGAAAAAAUCAAAAUUCAAGUACUCGUCAAGCUUUUAUCAAGUAGCGCAUUUAUAAGUAGAAAAAAAAAUCAAAACUCAAAUGCUCGUCGAGUUUUAUUAAAUAGUAUAUUUAUAAGUUAAAAAAAUCAAAAUUCAAGUACUCGUUGAAUUUUAUCAAAUAGUGUAUUUAUAAUAUACUGGUUUUUAAUUAUUUAUUAUAAAAUUAUGAAAUUUAGUGAAAAACUAGUUUGAAAACUUAAUUGAGCUAGAUUAAGCUCGUUUGAGCUCAAUUACACUCGAUUGAGUGCGAUUUGAUUGAGUUCAACUAAGAUAUAAAUAUAUAUAUAUGUCCAAAUUUGAAUUUAAACUCAACGAGUUUGGGCUCGAACACGAACAUUCUUAUUCAAGUAUACGAGUGGUGAACAAAUCCAACCGGACUCAACUCGAUAACAAAUCUACUUGAUAUAUUAAUGAUGUCAUUCCAUGAGGACGUAGUGAGCACGCACCCGAGCGCACAGUGGCAGCCGUGACUCCUGAUGUCACUAACGAGUUUGGGAAUGAGUUUUAACUUAAAAACGAAGUGCAAAUUAUGAAAUUGUUACAUACUCGUGGUAGUAAUGAACGUUGGAGUAAUAUCGCGCGAGCGACAUGCAGGCAGCAAAAGUGAAUCCUUUUACCCUUUUGGCAGAGGCAAUAAACGAAGAGUAAACCAGCCCCUCCCCUCAUGAGUAUCAUAACAUUUUUUUGCCGCAGCAUAUAUAACAAAAGUGUUGACUGCUGAUAGAAAAAGAAAAAAGAGCAAAGAAUGGGCAAAACAUAAAGAGCAAGAGCAGUAGAAGGAAUUAAUGGGCAUGUCCACCUAAAGAAGCGACAAUGGGUGGGCAGUUCCAAGGAGAAAAAAGGGAGUUGCGCGUGCACAUGACUGAAGCAUUGGCAGUCGGGCGGCGGGCCGGUGGGGGAGCGUAAGUACGGAUGCGGCGAAAACCGGCGAAAGCAUGGGGACCCAUUUCCUUCUUCCUCCGACCGCAAACUAAUCUUCCCUCACUUUUUUGUCCCUGGAGCUGGGAUCAUCAUUUCUUAUUCCUUUCUUUCUUUUUAAUUCUAAUCUUCCAUCGUGAUCAUAAUCUAAUUUGACUGCCACCUGCAGGCAUCAGCAUGCACGCAUCACAUCUCUCUCUCUCUCUCUCUCUCUCUCCCGAGUGUUGACCGACGAACAGCUUACCCAAAAGAAAGAAAGCAAGAAAGAAAGAAGGACAUGAAUCCCUUUAAAGCAUGUGAUCUUGUAAAUCUGAUGUCAUGCUCCCAAUCCUCCCAUGUUUCUGAUUCUCUUGCAGGCAAGGAUUUAUUUACUCGUACUGUUUUAUUUCUUCUUUUCUCUCAUCCUCUUUUCUUUUGUCGUACGUUACCAUGCGGCCUCUUCUUUAUUGUUUGCUUUCACUUUCGUUUUGGGCUUUGUUGUUUCUUUUUGGGGUAGCCAUUGUCCCUCGUCAACAAAAGCUAAGGUCUCAUCCACCCACAUGCCAUUGGGCGUCUAUCUUAAAUAACUACUUUUUCACACAAGCACAGAUCGAUUGUGGAUCCGUAAUUGGGCUGGCCAAGUAUCGCGCUUCCCUUGCCAUUUCAUCUUUGCCCCUGGCUCCGCCGGCAUUUUGUUCAUCUUGACGUCUUACUAACUUAGAUAUUUUUCUUCUAAUUAGGGAUUUAUCUUUUCUAUACUGUUCAUGUAAACACUGACAGAUUCAAAUAUAUAUAUAUAUAUAUAUUACAUCAUCUUAGUUUAAAUUUAUAUAUCAAACUUAAUUUACAUGUGUGUUAUGCGUAGAUGAACCCCGUUGGCAUAAUUUGUGUUCUUCUAAUUAUCAUAUAUGGUUGAUUGUUCUUUUUCUUGGAAGCUUCUAAAUCUGAUGGUUUUCGGUGCUGAAUGCAGGUAUGUUUGAUGUUUUAGCCCAUAUUGAAAAAGAUGUUACAGGCCUAUUUACUUGGAUUAAUGAGAGUGAUGGUAAGCUGAUUGCGAAUCCGCAGAUGGUUAAGUUGCAUUCAUUUGAUCCCGAGGCAGGGACUGCGAUGUAGCAUCAGUUUGAAUAGAACCUUAAUUUGUUGAAAGUUCUGCAGAUAAGUCUGAGGUUUAUUCUCUUCAAAUGCAGAUACACUUUGGUAUCAUACAAGAAUGAUAAAUGGGACGAGCCAUGAAGUUUUUUUUUUUUUUUUUUUUUUUGACACAGGGGUGUCCGGUCAAUUCUUACGGGGCCCGACUACUCCCCUGCGACCCGAGCCCGGCGCCCCAACCCGAUCAAGGCACGAUAAGUGUACAGGCGUCCCCAUAGCACAGUUUUGAACCCGGGACCUGAAGGUCCCAAGGGAAUGCUGCUACCAUGUGGCUAAACCCGUGGGGGCUGAGCCAUGAAGUUCAAGGUUGUGUUGUUUGAGUCCUCGUUUUUAUGCAAUUGCGAACUAAUAGUUGUUGUGAUUUGAUUCACAUUUUGUUAGACAGUGAUGCAAUUUGCGAAAGAACGCAAUGCAAAUUGAAUUUCACCGUAGUAUAAAGAAAAUUCUACACAUACCAUUUAUUUAUAAGAUAAAUACAAACCAAAAGAUUAGUUCACUUCCUGAUGUCUAAAAAUUCACAUAUACGUAUCUAUCGUUUAGUUACAUCAUGUUUUUAAAAUUAUUUUUUGAUAGAUGGAUUCGUCGUCCAGACAUAAUCUCAGUCGGCACCUCCUAGCAUUGCGUUUCAUAUGGAUUUCAGAUGAAAUCGUGUUUUCCCUACAUGAAAAUUUUUUCAUUUACAUCCAUUUAAGAAUUAAACAACGUGAGACGCUCCAAGUUUACUAUCUCUAUAAUCUCAUUCCAAAUCUACCCUUGUGUCAUCUCAUUCUUUAGUACAAAAACAUGAGUAUAUUGACAGCAAAAAUAAAAGGCAUGAAGGUUUAAUUCUAAUAAGACAAAAUAUAACAUGUUUUUUAAAUAUAAAGAGUUAAUGAGGUUUUUGCAAGUUAUAAAAUGUUAUUUUCUUUAUUAUAAAGUGUUUUUAGUUAAUUUAAAAAGUAUUAUAAAUAGUUUACUUUUUUUUUUUUGAAUUUCUAAUUUUGUCAUCCAAGUAAACAACUGAAAAAUAGAAAUACACAAAAUGUUAAAAAUUACAUAUAAACUUUUCCUUUUAAAAUAAACUGCAAGAUUUUAUUGAUAGAGAACUGAAGCAUUUACAUAGUAACAGAGGCUACCUAUACAUCAAUGAAGCUUUACAAAUAUUUACAGCCCAAAAAUGUAUACAACUCAUCAAAAUCUAUCAAAGCCCUUAUGGGCCAAGCUUUCCUGAGUCCUUUGGCACACUUCCAUGAAGCACCAAUAUAUUGGGUAAUGGGUGGUAUCAAUAAUCUAACCUACUAUAGCCACAGUUUGUACGUGUUCUCAAAUUGGUACAAAAAGUUAGAUUCUUGUACAAUAUCUCAAAUUAUUUUUAUUAGUAUUUUAUAAUUUUAAAUAUUUCCAUAUUUCUUACCAAACCAAUGACACAAGAAUUAUCAAAAGGUCUUUCGACCACAUUUUUAACUUUAAAUUUCUAUUAAAGAACCACACUGACCAAGUUUACUUAAAAAAUAAAAUUGGCAUGUUACAAUAAUUAAGAGAUCAUAAGAAGAGGGUAAAUCUGGUAUUAUCUUUCCAAGAUAUACACAAAAAAAUUACCCUCAGAAGGGGGAGGGAGGGGGGUGCGGCAAUGGUGGUUAUGGGUGGUAGUAUUAAUUUUUAAAAAGUACUCUAAAAACAUUUUAAUUUUAAAAGGUACCCCAAAAAAUAUUUCAAAAAUCCCUCUAAAAAUUACAAAAAACAUCUACAAGUAAAAAUUUUUCAUAUAUACCUGCUGCUGCAAUAAAAUAUUUCAAAAUACCCCCAAAAAUAGUUAAACCAAACAUACCCGAAAUUUGUAGUAAAAAAAGAUUUGGUAUAUUUUGUUUCUUAUUUAUUUGUAACCUAUAAUGGAUUUAUUAAUUUAAUUUUGAUUUUUUACUAUUGACUGUUAUUUUAACGAGAAAAAUAACGUUGAAACUUUAACCCAAGCCAUGGGAAAGUUAUGCAUUAAAGCAUCAAACCAUAGAAAGGUAAGUGUCAAUUUACCCUUUUUUUUAAGACUAGUUCCAACAAUAACAAAAACAAGGUCAUGAUCCGAAAAGUGCAUCAACCAGGAGGCAUUGCAUAGACUCUGUGCAAACAAUACAACAAAAAAUUUCCUAACUAUGGGACAAAAACGUGUUAGAUCCCUAGCUAUAUCCGAUUACAAUAAGAAGAAAUGCACACAAAAAUAAACUUUUUUUUUUGGGGUGGGGAACCAAAAUAGUGAAGAAGAAGGAAGAAGGGAGCAAGAGUCUUGCUUUGGUUUAAGAAUUACUAUCUCCUCCUGCCCAUGGAGGUAGGAUUGCCAUCAAAAAGUUCUUCAAUUAAGGCCUCAAUGUCUUCGGGCUGAUACUUAAUGUACUUCUCAACUUGCUUGGAACUAUCUAAAUACUGUCUAAACUUGCCUAAGAAAGAGCGGUAAGCGGGUAUAACCACCGCGGCCACGGAGAGUCUUAGCUCCGUACGAAGCUGGUCGUCGCUAACCACCCACGUACUCUGUAACUUGUGUAUCUCCUCCAACAUUGUAUUGAAAUUCUUGAACCUCUCCUUCAACGUUGGCUUGUUCACUUUCCCGUUAACUAUCAACCCCUCGUGGCUCAAGCUGUGCAAUAAUCUCACCCACGAUUCCCUUUGGUAGUUCUUGUGAAACUGCCGCACGACAGUUGAUCUUCUCCUACACCAAUUGUCGCCCAUCACUUGGUGAAUCUCAGUGGACCCCUUCGCCUUCUGCAGUAUGUACCUCCCAUUAUUCAUCAAGAAUAUGUAACGCAAAGAAGGGUCCUUGUACAGCAACGACUUGGCUUCCAGAUUCGCGUCCAAAAGAUCCAUAACUGUCACUACCUGCACCGAGAACCGGGUCGUACUCGCCUCGUGUUCCAAAUUGUGCGGGCUGCUCUCCCCCUCGCUUUCUUCAUGUUUUGUAUAUUUAGCCGGACGCGAAUCACAUAAAGAAUGAUUUUGAUCCAAUCCUGCUUGCUUUUCAAAGAUUUUCUCCAGCGUGCCUUUGUACUCGCAUGCAUACUUGAGAUAAUUCAGCACGUAACGAGUAAGCGGGUGCACUGCCCCACCUGGGACCGCAGUCUUGGCGACGUCGUUCUUGAUGGAAUUCUCCAAAUCCAGAAAUAUGUUGAUGGCUGCCUCGCCAAGGCGGCCAGCAGCGGCGGAGACCUCUGACCUCAAUUCGUGCUCGCAGCAAUCAUCGUCGGUGAUUAUGGAGGGUAUGAGAUCGAGAAGCGUCUCGUACAUGUCGAGGAAUUUGAAGAGCUUCUCUGCG
rnacentral:lncRNA from 1 species